AAUAAGUGCAGGUGUGGGUUUCUAUGUUUAACAUUUGACCGUCCGUCUUAUUUAAAAAAAUUUUAAAAAAAAUUAUAAAAGUCACACAUAAAGUAUUAUUCAUGUUUUAUCAUCUAAUAACAAUAAAAAUACUAAUCAUAUUUUUUUUCAAAUAAGACAGAUGGUCAAACGUUGGAGAAAAAAAUCACAACCACACUUAUA
rnacentral:pre_miRNA from 1 species